CAGUGACGAUAACGAUAACAAUGAUAACGAUAACAACGGUAUCGUUAUCGUUGUUAUCGUUACCAAUAUCGUUGUUAUCGUUAUCGUUGUUAUCAUUAUCG